AAGCACGCGAGUUUGGAGCGGGUGGAGCAGGAACAGAGGUGGACUGGAAUGUCACACGACGGGGCAGCUGGAAGGGCACCACUGAGUUCAGUACUUCAAAAUUGCCGUGCUCUACCUCUCCCCAGUGCACAAAAACACUCUCCACACCAAGCUGCUGCUGCUGGGGGAUGGAGGGAUGGCGUCAGCGAUUCAAGACUGUUUUUCCUACCUGUUCAGCACUUCUUUCAGCGAUAUGAAGUUAAAUCCAGGCCAAGUUCCCACCUGGUGGGAAGCACUGUGCAGGUUCGUGGGGAUGCAGCCCUGCACAGCCCAGACUGGACUCCUUCCCCAUGGAACUCACAACACACGGGAGAGGCAGAGAGAUCCAAGCGCACAGAAAAACACAAGAAGAUUCAGCCCUGUCAUCUUGUGCAAAGAUGAGUCAGGAACUCCUGGAGUGAGAAGGGCUCAGGCCUCACCCAGCAGUGACCUCAGAGAGGGUGUGCAAGGUCAGAAGAGCCUCCAGCUGAGCUCAGCACUGUGACAACAGACUUUCCAAAAUAUGCUUAAGGGUCUGGCCGGGGCUGGACAUGCUCCAGCAGGUGUCAGGGAAGAAGAAUGAGCAAGCUGGCUGAGUCUGAGCCUGGCCCCGCCUAAUGUUGUCUCCUCCCUGAAGCCUCCCCUCCCUUCUGUGCUACCACAGUUCUUAGGUCUGUGGCGUCCUGAAGCCACUGGUGCCAUGUGAUGGUUUGCAUUUCAAUUAAUUAAAAUUACAUGAAAUGAAA
rnacentral:lncRNA from 10 species